rnacentral:rRNA from 2 species
UCUGACGGAGCAACGCCGCGUGAGUGAUGAAGGUUUUCGGAUCGUAAAACUCUGUUGUCAGGGAAGAACAAGUGCCGGAGUAACUGCCGGCGCCUUGACGGUACCUGACCAGAAAGCCACGGCUAACUACGUGCCAGCAGCCGCGGUAAUACGUAGGUGGCAAGCGUUGUCCGGAAUUAUUGGGCGUAAAGCGCGCGCAGGCGGUUUCUUAAGUCUGAUGUGAAAGCCCCCGGCUCAACCGGGGAGGGUCAUUGGAAACUGGGAAACUUGAGUGCAGAAGAGGAGAGUGGAAUUCCACGUGUAGCGGUGAAAUGCGUAGAGAUGUGGAGGAACACCAGUGGCGAAGGCGACUCUCUGGUCUGUAACUGACGCUGAGGCGCGAAAGCGUGGGGAGCGAACAGGAUUAGAUACCCUGGUAGUCCACGCCGUAAACGAUGAGUGCUAAGUGUUAGAGGGUUUCCGCCCUUUAGUGCUGCAGCUAACGCAUUAAGCACUCCGCCUGGGGAGUACGGUCGCAAGACUGAAACUCAAAGGAAUUGACGGGGGCCCGCACAAGCGGUGGAGCAUGUGGUUUAAUUCGAAGCAACGCGAAGAACCUUACCAGGUCUUGACAUCCUUUGCCACUUCUAGAGAUAGAAGGUUCCCCUUCGGGGGACAAAGUGACAGGUGGUGCAUGGUUGUCGUCAGCUCGUGUCGUGAGAUGUUGGGUUAAGUCCCGCAACGAGCGCAACCCUUGAUCUUAGUUGCCAGCAUUCAGUUGGGCACUCUAAGGUGACUGCCGGUGACAAACCGGAGGAAGGUGGGGAUGACGUCAAAUCAUCAUGCCCCUUAUGACCUGGGCUACACACGUGCUACAAUGGAUGGUACAAAGGGCUGCGAGACCGCGAGGUUUAGCCAAUCCCAUAAAACCAUUCUCAGUUCGGAUUGCAGGCUGCAACUCGCCUGCAUGAAGCUGGAAUCGCUAGUAAUCGCGGAUCAGCAUGCCGCGGUGAAUACGUUCCCGGGCCUUGUACACACCGCCCGUCACACCACGAGAGUUUGCAACACCCGAAGUCGGUGGGGUAACCGCAAGGAGCCAGCCGCCUAAGGUGGGGUAGAUGAUUGGGGUGAAGUC